rnacentral:rRNA from 1 species
CCUACGGGUGGCUGCAGUCGAGAAUUUUUCUCAAUGGGGGAAACCCUGAAGGAGCGACGCCGCGUGGAGGAUGAAGGUCUUCGGAUUGUAAACUCCUGUCAUUUGGGAACAAUUGUCACCGAUUAACUGUCGGGGGCUUGAUAGUACCAGAAGAGGAAGAGACGGCUAACUCUGUGCCAGCAGCCGCGGUAAUACAGAGGUCUCAAGCGUUGUUCGGAUUCAUUGGGCGUAAAGGGUGCGUAGGUGGCGGGGUAAGUCUGGUGUGAAAUCUCGGG